GGCAAGCCCGACGGAGCAACGCCGCGUGAGGGAUGAAGGCCUCUGGGCUGUAAACCUCUUUUAUCAAGGAAGAAGAUCUGACAGUACUUGAUGAAUAAGCCACGGCUAAUUCCGUGCCAGCAGCCGCGGUAAUACGGGAGUGGCAAGCGUUAUCCGGAAUUAUUGGGCGUAAAGCGUCCGCAGGCGGCUCUUCAAGUCUGCUGUUAAAAAGUGGAGCUUAACUCCAUCAUGGCAGUGGAAACUGUUGGGCUUGAGUGUGGUAGGGGCAGAGGGAAUUUCCGGUGUAGCGGUGAAAUGCGUAGAUAUCGGGAAGAACACCAGUGGCGAAGGCGCUUUGCUGGGCCAUUACUGACGCUCAUGGACGAAAGCCAGGGGAGCG
rnacentral:rRNA from 1 species